GUCGCGCGCGUUCUUCGCUGGUUGCGAGCGUCGCAGCGCCUUUGUGCACAUGCAAGAGAGCGUUUUGGAGGGAUUUUUGCAGCCCUGGACCAGUAACUCCCUGGUUGCAAGCUGGAGAAGCAGGUCUUCGAGCCUCGUUGAGCUGAACGUGUACUCGUUGAAGCUGGUUUGGAAGUUGUUCUACCCUAAGCGAGAGGGUAUUUGACCCUUGGACCACUUCGUUUGGCCUUGGAGGGCCUUCUGGAAGCUUAACGUGAGGUAUUGAACUAAGCCAAAACAGGGAUUUAAGCUAUUCCUAUGUAUUAAGUGCAAUUGCGCCGAAAUUGGACAUUUCAAUCGUGAUUUGAUACGAUCUUUGUGCUUCGUGUU